rnacentral:rRNA from 1 species
GACGAACGCUGGCGGCGUGCUUAACACAUGCAAGUCGAGCGGUAAGGCCUUUCGGGGUACACGAGCGGCGAACGGGUGAGUAACACGUGGGUGACCUGCCCUCAGCUCUGGGAUAAGCCCGGGAAACUGGGUCUAAUACCGGAUAUGACCUUCUGUCGCAUGACGGUUGGUGGAAAGUUCUUCGGCUGGGGAUGGGCCCGCGGCCUAUCAGCUUGUUGGUGGGGUGAUGGCCUACCAAGGCGGNGACGGGUAGCCGGCCUGAGAGGGCGACCGGCCACACUGGGACUGAGACACGGCCCA